ensembl:lncRNA
AUGUGUGGGAAGUUUAUUUUGCUUGGAGACCUGAGACAGCUGUAUGUCGCUGUUAGCCUGCUGAGGGCUCAGGAUCACACACACACACACACACACACACACGAACACACACGCUCCAGCCCUCAUGCAUCACUUGCAGGCGUACAUUUAUGCGUGCUCACAGACACAUGCACACUGCUGAACUUCAUCUUAUCGUUAUCCUUUACCCUUAACCGUUCUCUCUUUUUCUUUCUCUCCCUCCCCCCAUGUCUCUAUGAUGACGCCUCCCUGUGGUCCGGCCUUCCUUCUUCCUUCAUGUCAGGGCCUCCGGGAAAGCGUGGAAGGAUGGGAAGAAGAGGGGAACCUGGUAAGUGACGCCCACCUCCUCCUUUGUUUGUGUUUUUCUCCAUUCUUUUUCUUCCUAUUUCCCUCACUCUCUCCCACACUUUUCCUGGGUGACUGGGGUAGGUUUUCGAGGGUCGGUAAAAGCGGUGACCCGUGAGUCAGGCUGGCAGAUGAUGGGCCACAGUUGGCCCUUCUCCCUGUCCCUCCCUAUUUGCGGCGACACAGCGCGUACUCUGGCCCAUGUGGUUGCACUAACUUCGCCCAGAUGUCAGUUGUUCUCACUGAGCAGUAGCAGCUGCUAUAGUACGAGGCUAAUGAGAUUCUCCCUUGCCAACAUCACUACUCACCAUUAUUGUGUUGCUUUUCCUUUCCGUCCCGACCGCAACACACUCAUCAAGAAACCAAAACAGUGCAGGGAUAUAAUUCUUGCUACAAAAAAGUUUGCCAUGACACAUAGAAUGGAUGUUGUUCAAGAGUCAUCCUGAUUUGAAACGGGACUCAAAACCUGCAGUUGUUCUGCAGGAUAUGUGUCAGAUGGAAAAAAUUCCAGUCUGGCUGUGAUUCACUGUUGUGGAUAUUUAAUUAGAUGCAAUCCGCUCGUAUGAAAAUGUUGACUAAGUGAUCGAUCACCAAUAAUCCUUAUUGCUCUACUCAGCCCAGCAAGCCUUUCUGAAGUCAUCAUCCAGCAGAAUAUCUUUCAAAUCUGAUUCUGUCUAUUGACUUGAUUUUAUUUGAAAUAGAAUAUUCAUUAGCUAAUGAUGAGCAGAUGCAGACCUACACUAUUGUGCAAAAGCAACAAUAAAUCAGUCAGAUUUGUGGAAGAUGUAAACCUUUUAAUACAGGUCACAAAUGUGUGGUUCCUAUUUCAAAACGGCUCAGUAAUUAAAGUAACUGGGCCAGGUUACCCACCGUGACAUCACCCGUUGGUUUUGAAGCCCCUAGUUUUUUGUAUUUUGACCAGCGCCAUGUUGGUUUUUUUGCAACCAGACGUAGGAGCCGUAGGAGGAGUGGGUCUGACUGAGAGCCUACCUACAACUGCACGGAUACACCUAUUGGACAAACCAGUUGUCAAUCACGCUGUGUCCAUGCUCCAAUGUAUGCGGUGAUUUAUCGUUCAUUUUACUUGAAAUGAGACCAUAAUUUACUAAAUGAACAUCAUGCUGCAUUGAAGAAGAUUUGAAACUAGCGAUUGAGACCAUAAACUCGUGAGAAAUAGUCAUUUUUUGAAUAGACUUCUACAGAAACAGACUUCUUUUUGCAACCAGUGAGUCGCCCUCUGCUGGUGAUUCUAGAGAAUA